UGCGUGUCUGUGAAAACGCCUGUUCCCUGCCUGCUCCUGACAGUAUGGGGGACCGGUGACCAAUGGCCAGUGGAUGUGCCUUCCAAGAGCCUUCAUCGGAGAAGCCAUCUCUGUGGAGAGCUCCAUCGUUUGCAAGAUGUGCAUGUUUCAGGAUUGAUUGUCCAAAGCCAUCUUGCCGCUGCUGACACAUGGACCCAGCUGGCCCCUGACACGUCACAUUGUCAUCGAUGGAGGAUCCAAUGCCGCAGCGGGUGAGCCAGGUUUUCUACACCAGCCCAAGCAGCCUGCAGCUUCCUGCUGUGCCGGUGACAGUUGUUUGCUGCGCUCUGGCGAGGCUCUGGCAAUCCUAGCAGAGCCCAGAACAUCCGUGAAGCUCUGAAUAUUUAACUGCACUGAGCAUGCAUGUGCCAUCGGCUCAUGCUCAUCGAGUGGGCAGAAAUCCUGGGGGAUAAUUUCCUAAAGCCUGGACGAGGACCUGGAGAAAGAGCCAGUGUCUCUAGGCUGAGGCUUUGCUGGGCUCGGCUUAGUCCGACACUUCUCCCUGCAGUCUGUCCAUCUGCUGUGCAGCCUCCGCGGGAGCUCCUGGGUUUAGAGCUGAGAUCUGAAUAGCAAAUGAGCGGAGGAUGUGCCAAGACUGCAGACCACCUGCUAAGAGCCAAAGGUACGUUUCUGUG
rnacentral:lncRNA from 1 species